ACCCUCUAACUCCACCUGCAUCACAAAUUAUGUACACAACAUGUUUUCUUAUUCAUGUAGAAUUAUGUCAAAGGGAUUAAAAGAAGUCAUAUUUACUAACUUACAGGUGGGUCACUCACAGGUGGUUCCACAGGAGUAACAGGACUCUGGGAUGUGGAUGGCAACCUGCUGGUCUGAGGAACAGAUGCUGUUGGCUUUGGUAGAGCAGCUGAUCUAGACAGCACAGGCCUGUCAGUGUUCUUAGGCUGGGAGGAGGAUGAAGAUGGAGAGAUCUUCCUUUGAUGGGAGGAGGAUAGAGAUUGGACGAUUCUCUGGUUGGGAGGUUGAUGGUGACAGGAAGACCGUCUCAGGAUGGUAGGAAGAGGAGGAUGGCUUGACCUGGGUAGCUGACUUCUGCUUAGACUUUUGUGGGCUGGAUUCUUUGGAAAUCCUCACAGUAGCUUUACUGCUAACUUGGCUCGAGGACUCUUGAGACGUCACUAAAUCUGACAAAGUGACAUUUUUUGGAUCAAGAAAUGUACUUAUUUUCCAUUAACUCUGUCUCUUACCUUCAACAGCCUGACCUGCAGCCAUCAGCUCAGCAGACCAUGAAGACAGAUCGCCCCUUUUCAGCUGUUGCUAGAGUGAGACAGAAAAAUGUUUUAUUACGCUAUCUUUGCAGGAACGUUCAUCUUUGAAUCAUUACAAACAUGCAAAUCAAACUUUGCAUUUGGACAGUUUAUGGCCACAGCACUUACUUGCUCCUAUUCAGAGAUAUAUUUUCGGAACCUCUUCAUAUGGACGCUGGUGAUGUGUGUCAGCGCCGUGUUUAGCCAUCUCCUCACUGAGGUGUGUGCCUUCUGGAUUCUGUCCUCGUCUGUAAAUUGGUCUGGCUGGUCUUUUUGUUUUGAGUACUGGCGGUAGAGGUCCCACAUCUCCUAAAAGGUAUUGCCUUCAAAGCCUUUCUGGCCAUAGAUGCACCUAUCAAUGUUGGCCUCGAGGAGAAUGGAGAUUUGAGGGAAGCUCUCUGCAUACUCAGCCAGGCAGUCCUCCACCCAGUGAUUGGCAAUGUCCCCUUUUCUGGCUGGGUUGUUACCUCGGCCCUGUGCUUGUUGCCCAAAAUUGGUAAAUAUAAUCAACUAUGAACGGGCUCAACUGUGUUUUUAUUUUCUUUUUUAACUUAUGUUUGGUUAUCCGGAGGCUUGUGAAGGGGCUGCAGGGGCGUGCCCGAUGGGAGACUCUUUUUAAUCAACACUGAGAUAUAAGAAAAAGGAAACGAGAGGGAAAAGAUGGGGCCCAAAGCGGCGUGGUGUGAGAGAAGCCAUCACCUGGGCCUGGAAGCGGGCGCGGCAGACGGCGGGAGCAGGGUCGACAGCUGAGAAGACAGCCAAGAGGAGCCACCAGCAGACCAGAAGCCAAACCGACGUCAAAGGAGUGCACCGGGAGAAGCAGCGAGCAGACCAACGUUGGGUGAGCACGCUGGGCUGCCAACCAAACUAUGAAGCAGCUUUCUGGACUGGGAAGAAGCCAGAGAAAACCCACACAGGAAGAACUCAGCCGGGAUCUGAUCCGGUCGUGGUUUGUCAGAUGUUCCUCCAUCUUCCUUCUCUGAUUAUCUCUGCCUCGUCUCCUCUGGCUAAUCUGCUGCUGUCUGUUUUUGUCUUCACAGGUGUUCAGUAUUACUGACUGAUGCACCUGCAGUUCCCAGUCUGUCAGCUUCCUUCCACAGACUUCUCUCCUGGAUCAUCCUGGUUUAUUUGGGACACUUUAUCACAUCAGCUCCAGACUCCACCACCUUCCUGCGCCACAAUAAACUGUUUUAUCUAAACCA